rnacentral:rRNA from 1 species
AACGAACGCUGGCGGCAUGCCUAACACAUGCGAGUCGAACGAGACCUUCGGGUCUAGUGGCGCACGGGUGCGUAACGCGUGGGAACCUGCCCUUAGGUUCGGAAUAACUCCCCGAAAGGGGUGCUAAUACCGGAUAAUGUCUUCGGAACAAAUAUUUAUCGCCUUUGGAUGGGCCCGCGUUGGAUUAGCUAGUUGGUAGGGUAAAAGCCUACCAAGGCGACGAUCCAUAGCUGGUCUGAGAGGAUGAUCAGCCACACUGGGACUGAGACACGGCCCAGACUCCUACGGGAGGCAGCAGUGGGGAAUAUUGGACAAUGGGCGAAAGCCUGAUCCAGCAAUGCCGCGUGAGUGAUGAAGGCCUUAGGGUUGUAAAGCUCUUUUACCCGGGAUGAUAAUGACAGUACCGGGAGAAUAAGCUCCGGCUAACUCCGUG